GAAGAUGAAUGGUUUAAGAAAGAUUAUAAGGCCGCUGUAUUUGAGGAGAAAGAAGACACCAACUUGGAUGAUGUUGAAGCUGUUUUUAAGGACUCAGAAGAACAUCAUGUAAUGGAGAAGAAGGAAGAACAGCCAACAGCUAUGAAUGCAUUUGAGUUGAUUUCUAUGUCAAAAGGACUAAAUCUCGGGAAUUUGUUUGAUACAGAACAGGGAUUCAAGAGGGAAACAAGGUUCACAUCUAAAUGCCCUGCUAAUGAGAUAAUCCAUAAGAUUGAAGAAGCUGCAAAGCCUCUUGGUUUUGAUGUUCACAAGAAAAACUACAAGAUGAGGCUUGAAAAUAUGAAAGCUGGGAGAAAGGGAAACCUUAAUGUUGCCACUGAGAUUUUCCAAGUGGCGCCUUCUCUACAUAUGGUUGAAGUGCGGAAAGCAAAAGGAGACACUUUGGAAUUCCAUAAGUUCUAUAAAAAUCUUUCAACCUGUCUCGAUGAUGUUGUCUGGAAAACUGAGGAUGACAUGCAAGAAAUGAAGUAAAAAUAGGGCCCCUGUCUUGAAGAGAUCAGAUCACCAUCUUUUGUUUAUGUUGCCUUGCCAAUUGUGUCAUUCUUGUUCUAUAU
rnacentral:misc_RNA from 1 species